rnacentral:rRNA from 1 species
UUUCACCUACGGGAGGCAGCAGUGGGGAAUAUUGCACAAUGGGGGAAACCCUGAUGCAGCAACGCCGCGUGAGUGAAGAAGUAUUUCGGUAUGUAAAUCUCUAUCAGCAGGGAAGAAGAUGACGGUACCUGAAUAAGAAGCCCCGGCUAACUACGUGCCAGCAGCCGCGGUAAUACGUAGGGGGCAAGCGUUAUCCGGAUUUACUGGGUGUAAAGGGAGCGCAGACGGCAGUGCAAGUCUGGAGUGAAAGCCCGG